GUACACAAAAAUGCACAUAUUGUGAGCUCGAUGAGUAGGGCGGGACACGUGGUAUCCUGUCUGAAUAUGGGGGGACCAUCCUCCAAGGCUAAAUACUCCUGACUGACCGAUAGUGAACCAGUACCGUGAGGGAAAGGCGAAAAGAACCCCGGCGAGGGGAGUGAAAAAGAACCUGAAACCGUGUACGUACAAGCAGUGGGAGCACGCUUAGGCGUGUGACUGCGUACCUUUUGUAUAAUGGGUCAGCGACUUAUAUUCUGUAGCAAGGUUAACCGAAUAGGGGAGCCGAAGGGAAACCGAGUCUUAACUGGGCGUUAAGUUGCAGGGUAUAGACCCGAAACCCGGUGAUCUAGCCAUGGGCAGGUUGAAGGUUGGGUAACACUAACUGGAGGACCGAACCGACUAAUGUUGAAAAAUUAGCGGAUGACUUGUGGCUGGGGGUGAAAGGCCAAUCAAACCGGGAGAUAGCUGGUUCUCCCCGAAAGCUAUUUAGGUAGCGCCUCGUGAAUUCAUCUCCGGGGGUAGAGCACUGUUUCGGCAAGGGGGUCAUCCCGACUUACCAACCCGAUGCAAACUGCGAAUACCGGAGAAUGUUAUCACGGGAGACACACGGCGGGUGCUAACGUCCGUCGUGAAGAGGGAAACAACCCAGACCGCCAGCUAAGGUCCCAAAGUCAUGGUUAAGUGGGAAACGAUGUGGGAAGGCCCAGACAGCCAGGAUGUUGGCUUAGAAGCAGCCAUCAUUUAAAGAAAGCGUAAUAGCUCACUGGUCGAGUCGGCCUGCGCGGAAGAUGUAACGGGGCUAAACCAUGCACCGAAGCUGCGGCAGCGACGCUGAUGCGUUGUUGGGUAGGGGAGCGUUCUGUAAGCCUGUGAAGGUGUACUGUGAGG
rnacentral:rRNA from 1 species